rnacentral:rRNA from 1 species
UUUCGGAUCGUAAAGCUCUGUUGUUAGGGAAGAACAAGUACCGUUCGAAUAGGGCGGUACCUUGACGGUACCUAACCAGAAAGCCACGGCUAACUACGUGCCAGCAGCCGCGCUAAUACGUAGGUGGCAAGCGUUGUCCGGAAUUAUUGGGCGUAAAGGGCUCGCAGGCGGUUUCUUAAGUCUGAUGUGAAAGCCCCCGGCUCAACCGGGGAGGGUCAUUGGAGACUGGGGAACUUGAGUGCAAAAGAGGAGAGUGGAAUUCCACGUGUAGCGGUGAGAUGCGUAAAGAUGGCGAGGAAGACCAGUGUGGAAGGCGACUCUCUGGUCUGUAACUGACGCUGAGGAGCGAAAGCGUGGGGAGCGAACAGGAUUACAUACCCUGGUAGUCCACGCCGUAAACGAUGAGUGCUAAGUGUUAGGGGGUUUCCGCCCCUUAGUGCUGCAGCUAACGCAUUAAGCACUCCGCCCUGGGGGAGUACGGUCGCAAGACUGAAACU